UGGUGCCCCAACGUGGGACUCAAGAAUGGAGGACUUUGUGAGGGAUGCUGUUUGUGGGCCCAAAGUAGAAAAAGGAAAAAAAAAUAGAGGACCUGGCAACAUGGGAACCUGCCAUGUCGCUGAGCCUUGGUAAGUGAACAGCAAUUAUGGGACAAGAAAUUAGCCAGCAUGAGAUUUUUAUUGAAAGUUUAGGAAAGGCUUUAAAGAUGUGAGUGGUAAAGGAAAAAAUUGAGCAGUUGUGUCCAUUAGGGCAAGAAAUGAGCCCU
rfam:Cavia porcellus supercont2_49 genomic scaffold, whole genome shotgun sequence.